GACCCUAUGGACAGCAGCCCAGUAGGCUAGAUUCUACAUGACCUCCCUCGGGGCUCAGCAGCUCACCAUCUGCGGUUGUGGCAGAUGCCGUUGCUGAUGACUGCAACAUCCUUGUUUGCUGCUCAGGCAGGAAAUACUCCAUUUCUCAGGAUCCACAUUUUGCAGAGAUCAAGUUUUAGAUAGUGGGAUGCUCCUCAGGCUUGCACACAAAAAUGUGUUUUGCAAUUUUGUUCAAGUCAGGAAUUUGUAGUUUGGGACUGGACAGGCAGUAAUGCUGCUGGCUGUGGUGGGUACCACUUCGUGGUCUGGGUCUGGGUCUCAGAGACUGAAGCCCAGGGGAGCUUCCUGGCACCCUGAGUACACACAAUGCCACAGGCAAAUUGGGAAUCCCCCAAGCUUGCUUUUCUCACCUUUUCUUCUGUGUUCUCUGCUCCCUCCCUGGGUUCUAGUCUUUUUCAGCCCUUCCCUUCAAUAAGCACACAUCCGGCUUCAAACUGGAUUCAAAUCCCAGCCCCAUCUGUUACCAAGUGAUGUGAUUCAGGAAGUGUCUCUUCCUUUCUGAUUUCCUUAUAUAAUAUACUUAAACACGUUUCAGCUCUGAUGGUGACGAUUCUGUGACAUAAGUUAAUGUAGAAUGCAGGAAACACAAGGAGCUCUUCAUAGAUAAUGGCCCAUCAUUGUUCUUCGGGGCCACUGGCUCUGAGUAAUUCACACUGAUGUGUGAGCAACCCAUGUCCUGCAGUUAACAGAGAAGUUGAGUAGGCUUGGCGUGCUGUAGUCCAUGGAGUCACAAAGAGUCGAAUUUGACUGAGCCGCUGAACAACAGUAAAGCAAAUGUUAUCUGUCCGAUAUUUAAGCAACUUAAAAACAUUAAGUCAAUAUUCAGGCUUUUGGGUGAAGGGAAUUUUUGAUCAGCAACUUUAAAUCCUUCCACCUGCAUGCCUGCCUCCCUCCCUUCCUUCCUGGGGAUGUACAUUUUAAAAGCGCAGUCAGGAACCACAGACCUCUGUCUCCUGGCAUCAGUGACUCCGGCGAACUGGAACCACCAGGGAGAGGAUAAAGGUUGGAGGCAGGGGAGUGGCCACCUUUUCUAUUUAUCUCUCUCUCUUUCUAUAUAUAUUUUAUAUAUAUAUACACACACACAUAUAUUUAAAUUUUUUUAAUUAAAAAAAUAUCUGUAUAUAAAGAUAUGUGGUUAAUUAUUCAUUCAGAGAUUUAUAAUUGAGAAAUAUCCUCACUUAGUAGUUGGUUUAACCAGAGAACCAAUGAAGAAAUCAUUGACCCACUUUCUCUGUUGCUUGGUUUUCCUUUCCGGUCAGGCGAUGAGUUCAGAGGACAGGCCAGUCAUUUUUCAAUUGCCUUUGGCUUCUUGUUUGCUCCAAAUGGCAUUUCACAAUGUGCUGUUGAUUACUUACACUUGCUUUCAGGGAGCCAGUGUUCUCUGGCUGUGGGAUCCAAUCAAGAGAUCCAUUAAGGUCCUCCUAACUCUGCAUGGGAGAUCAGGAUUGUAAACUGUCAUUGGGAUGAAUCAAGUCUUCUCCUUACUUUCUGUUUGAGACCAAGGAGAGGUGAAUAGCUAUCCAGCCCCUCUGAGGUGAGGUCUGUAAAGCAUGCAUGCCCACCUUCCAGCUCCAUUAUUCUAGGCUUGCUGGGCAAGUAUUUGCUAGAGGGAAGGUCAAGCAGGUGAAGGACAGCGGAGUCUGGCAUGCUGCAGUCCGUGAGGUCGCAAAGAGCCAGACACAAUUUAGCAACUGAGCAACAAUAAGAUCAAGUAGAACAUUAAGGAUUUGAUCCCUGUUUACACUCUAAACAGAAAAUAUGAACUGUUUGUUUAUCUCAGUUUGUUUAAUACCAGGAUACUCCAUAUUUCAAUAAUACAAAUGGAUUUUUAAAAUCUUUGUAUUAACCUAGGAACCAAAGCAGUCUCUAAUAAAAGUAAGCAAAUCUUCACAGAUUUAUAUUUGGACUCUGUAACUAAAGCUUUUAAAGAAGAAAUCAUUUAAUUACUUUUUUUUUACACCAUUGGUAUUUUAUAAUAUUUGCAUGUCUAUUAUUGUCAAUAUAAUGAAUAAUGUAAAGUACAUUUCUUAAAGAGUCUUUUUAAUAAUAUUCAAAUUUGUAUGGUCUAAAAGCUAAUUUUCAAAGUCAUUGUUAUUGUGGUCCUAUUGUUCUCUAUUUUCUAUUCUUUUUACAAUUAGCAUAGAGUAUAAAGGCAGAGAAGCUGACAUUUGCUGAAAUUCUCCUGUGGCUCAAGCAUUCUGCUGAGACCCUUUCACACGUCACUAAUUUGAUGUUCAUAACAUCAGGUUAUGAAGGUUAGGUUAGUUUAUCUCCUGCAGGUUAGUUUAUCUCCCCUCUAUUACAGAUGAGGAAACUGCCUGGAGAAGUUAAGUAUCUUACUUGAGGAGACCCUCCUAAUAACAGACAGAGCUUGUAUUUGUACUUAGGUUUGACUGCAUUUGGAAAGAAAAAAGGAUGAAAAGGCACAUGAAAAGGAGAGAGGAAGAUGAAAUUGUAAUGCACACUUUUGAUGCCAAAAGAUCAACUUCUCCAUUCACUGGUACCAAAUCCAAUCUCAGAGACAGAGUUUUGGGUGAAGUAGAAAAGGAUAGCUUUAUUGCUUUGCCUGGCAGAGGAGGCCACAGUCGGGUAAUACACUCAAAAUCCCAUGUACCAGCUUAGAGACGAUAGUGAGAAUUUCUCAGUAAUUGUCAGAGAGGGAGCUAUCCGCUCGCGGAGAUUCUUCUGAUGGGUUGGUGGUGAGGUAAGUAGGAGUCAGCAGCAUCAACAUUCGGGUCCAUCUGGCCUGGGGUCGGCCUGCUUGUGGGCAGUACACCAUUGUUAAUCCCCCACUGCUCCCACCUGAAAGGGGUUUCAGUGUCUUCAAAAUAGCUCAAAGAUAUUGUUGUGAGUUUAGAUUGAUUGGGAACCAGGACCUUGCCCCAAGGUUGCGCUGCUGUUUCUCUUGACUGUUUGUUUCUCCCUGGCUUGGAUCCCCUCCUUACCCUAGUUAAGAACUGCUUGACUCUACCUGUCGGAGCUCAGGGAAGGUCACAGAGGCUAGAUGAAGGCUGUUUCCUAUAAUCAAAGAAAUGGAGGUCACAGAAAGCCUUUGGGCCUAGGAACCUCACGGGGCCCGGUAUCACUUUGGAAAGCUAAAGGAAACCAAGGCGAAGUCAGUCUCAGUCUUAGGAAAGCAGCCUUGAGCUUGGAAAGAAGGGAAGCGGCAAUGCCAGGUGUUGUCACUGCAUAGUGGUUGUCAUGGUUACAGCUAACUGGCUGUGUGCCAGGAGGAAACCUGAAAACUCUCUCUGAAUUUUCCUAAAAUAGAUCUUCAAACUUUCUCCAUAUCCAGCCUUCCAGUGAAGCUGUCUUUGGGACCAUGAUAUGGAGCCAUUCCGAUUUAUACAACUGAGAGGGCAUUGAACCUUUGGAUGGAGGACCAGGGAAGGAAGUACUCCUGUGUGUAUGGAUCCUCCACAAAGGAAACCAGUCUCCAUGUUAAUUGUGUGGAAGGUCAACCUCAAAAGGAUUAUGGUUACCAAAGGAGGAAAAAUAUAUAUUUGACAUACAGUAUUGAUUUUUAUUACUGUAAUUUGUGUCAGAUGUCAAAGAUUUUUUGAAUUUAAUAUCUGCCUCUUUUUUCUUUGUGAUAUAAAAAUAUUGAGUUUUUGUAAUGGGAUUGUUUUAAUAGUUUGGCUCCCCAAACAAUUUUUUUUAUUUUAAAGAUACUGUAAAAGAAAACAACCUGAAAUUAUUAUACAAGAUUUAUGGAAUACAUUAGGAAGGUGUAUUUUUCUGAAACUGAAGUUCCACCACUUUCAUUGGCUCCUUAAAGUGAAUUAUGAAUCAAAAAAAAAGGAAGAGCCUAAAGUCUUACUUUUCUCAACUCUGAAUUUCCUACCAAAGUGAUUUUCAAGAAUUUAUUGCUGUUGCUUGCAGUAGGAUUUUAAAUUUUUAUUGGGAUAUAGUUGAUUUACAAUGCUGUGUUAGUGCUUCUUUCUUACUCUUAUCCUGAUACCCAGAUAUAUGACCCUUCAACUAUAGUUCUCAGUUUCUCAUUGUGGGGAAGGCCCUAGGGGUGUGUGUGUACAGACAGGACUGCCUUAGUCUGAGGACUGAUGUUGCCCCAGCUGCUCACUUCCUUGCAAAUGCUUCCAUCAGGACCUCUCCCUAGGAUGCUCUAUAAUUCCAGGUACACAGCUCUGACAGCUAAAUGCCCUCGUUCUCCCUUAAUUCUCCUUCCCCAUAGAUGAAUGGAGAGAAAAACUGGGUCCAAAUACAGAACAGUGAGUAGGCAUUUCCCCUUUUCACUGAAAAGUGUAGUUAUCAUUUAUUUUGCAAGAUGUGGAAGCAACCUAAGGGUCCAGAUGAGUAGAUGAAUGGAUAAAGAAGAUGUGGCAUGGAUAGACAAUGGACUACUACUCUGCCGUAAAAAGAAUGAGUUUGUCACUUGCAACAGGCUGAAUGGACUUAGAAGGUAUUAUGCAAAGUGAAAUAAGUCAGAGAGAGAGACACACUGUAUGCUAGCACUUAAAUGUAGAAUCUAAAAAAUAAAACAAACUAAUGAAUAUAACAAAAAAUAAACAUAUGCAUAAAGAGAAUAGCCUGCUGGUUACCAGCGGGGAGAGGGAAAUGGGCAGGGCAGGAUGGCGGCAGGGAAUUAAGAGGUACAAUAUGUAUCAAAUACGUAUGUAUAAAGUAAAUAAGUUACAAGGAUAUACUGUACAACAGGGAAUAUACUCAAUAUUUUAUAAUAACUCUAAAUGAAAUCAUAACCUUUAAAAUUUGUGAAUCAUUAUGUACACCUGAAACAUAAUAUUGUGUAUCAGCUGCUCCUCAGUAAAACCAAGAAAAUAAAAUAAGAGUUCAGCUAUCAACCUAAGCAUUGUUCAGUUCACUUCACUUAUUAAAAACCCUCAUGAUAUUGACCCCCAGACUAGGAACUGCAAACCGCUCUUGCUUCCUAUUCUCUAUUUUGCAAAAGAAUCAUCUCUUGUCUCCCAAGUAUGGCCCUGCUUGGGUGUAACCUGUGAGCUUUAGGAAGAGGGUGCCGUAUGCCCUCUGACUCUCACCUGUUUCUCUGCACCCACUGUCCCCUUCCCCUUCAUUCUCUCCUUGAUAAAAGUCAGUAUUCCUCUCUUCUGACAGCCCCCAUUUCCAUAGCAAAUUCCAUAGAGCCCUUACAGAGGCACCGUGUGGUUCUGCAUUUGAAAGGAUUCAUACCUUUAUGGACUGUUCUUUUCAGAGCCCCGCCAGUCUUGCCCAUAUGAUUCCAAUUUUGGGGGUGUGUUCAACUAAGCAAGCUCCCCAUGACUUUUUCAUAACUUAGAUAGCUUGGGUUGUACUCUCAAUAGAAGUAUCUAUAGUGAAUUGUGAUCUGUUGUCUCCUUUCUUAGUGCUGAGAAAAACUUUGUCAGAGGACACCUCUUACAUUUUCACUUUUUGUGCACAUUUCAGUUUGUCGCAGGGACUGAAUACAAUUGGAUUUGACAGCUGUACUAAAUAAACUACGCAGGUGUGCUUUUAAAGCCACUUGCAGAUUUCUACUUCUGCGUGCUGAUAACGCAUGUUUUUUAAAGUUUAGAUGAACACAAAGAUUUUAUAAAGUCCUGAGAUGAAUACAUUUUUUUUUUCCUUGCUCUCACUCACCAUCUAGAUCUUUGUCUUACAGAAAUCCAUAACAUUAAUACCUACACAGAAUGGGAGAGAGUAUAUUUUCAAAAAAGCUGAGUAGAUGGGAUCAAUCAUUUAUGGAAGGGCCUUCGAAAUGUCCUUCAAAUAGGACAUAAAUGUCAAAGAGAGUGUCUGUUCUUAUUUAGGAUCAUUUAUGGCACACAGAGUUUGAUAAAAAGAAAUUCAGUAUUACCUUUCAUUGUAAAUUAUCUUUGGGAUGAAGGAGUUUAAACAUCUUUGGUGGCUGCUGUCUUAAAAGGGACCUCAGGGAGUGAAGGGAGCCUCAGCAGUGUCAUGGUUUUUAACUCUGAGACUGGUUUUCAACCCAAAGUGGGCAUGGUUCUCCCUACCCAACUCACACAUUUAUUGUCAGGGCCAAGUGAAAUACUGAAAACCAGAAGCGUCAGUUUAAUAUGGUAUUAGGUUUCCAUGUUUUCAAAUGAAGUCCUCUUUUGUCAGUAUCCUCCAUCUACCCAGCAAAACCAGGAACAACCCAAUGACCGUAUAAAAAGUCUCCUGGGCAGCCUAUCAGCUCAAUGGGAGCAUGUGUCAAGUGAAAGGGUGUGUAAAUAAAGUUGCCUUGACCACAAGGAGCAGAUGGUCACUGAAAGAAGGAAGAAAGAAAGAGAUGAGGAAAAGGAAGGGGAGAGGGAAGGAGGGAUGGAAGAAGAAAAGGAAAAAGAAAAGAACAUAAGGAAGAGAAAAAUGUUCUGUUAUAGUAACUGUCUGGGGUGGUAAAUUGUCCCUUGUUUUUUUUUUUUUUUUUUUUCAAUUUUUCCUUUGGCUGUACCCUGGCUUUCUCUAGUUGCAGUGAUUAGAUACUACUCUUUGUUGGGCGUGCGGGCUUCUCGUUGCACUGGUUUCUCCUAUGGAGCCCAGGGAUCAGACCACAGGCUCAGAAGCUAUGGCACAUGGGCUUAGCUACUUCUCAGCAGGGGAAUCUUCAUGGACCAAGGAUUAAACCCAUGUCUCCUGCACUGGCAGGUGGAUUCUUAUCCACUGGGCCAGGGAAGUCCCAGGUUGUCUGUUUUUUAAAGCUAAGUGAAACUGACUAUUUUAUUUCUUUGGAAGUAGUUUAAUGCCUUAUUUCUACAUCAAUCAUAGAGUCAAAAAGAAGUGUGGGUAGUUCCCUAUACCUUGAGAUCUCUUGUACCUUGGAUUCCCUGUACGUUGUUUAUAGGACAAUCCAAGAAGGAAACAGAAUGCCCACCUAAGUAUUCUUGGGGGGCCUUUUGCCCAGGUACAAUCAGAAGAACCUGGCUUUAUGAAAAUGAGUGCAAAUUCAGGUAAUAAGAAUUUAAUAUCAUUUAGUUUAAGGGUGUAGGGUUUUCCUAAAAUUAAGACAGGAAAUGAAGAUCCAAGCAUUAAGAAGCAUCAAAUUCACAAUCCCGAACACCUCCUUGAAGGAUCUAGCAAACCUCUCUCUGAAAGAGAUUUCUUUGGAAACUUUUUCUUAUUUUCCUGGGCAAGUCUGGUCCUGAUACCAGCUAAAUAAAGGAGAGAUUAGUACCUAGUAUUUAAUAACUUCUGGUAUUUAAUACUCAAAUAAUUAUUUUUGAAAGGAUUGAGGAAGGAUGGAGUGGAGGGAAGAGGCUAUUGUCUACCUUGUAAAGGUCAAUUUUUUAAAAGCAGUAAACAUUUACGAAUAUUCUUUAUUGCACAAAGAACUAUCUUUUCCAAAAUAUUUUGAAACUUGGAGUUUCUAGUUUUGGUGGAGAUGUAGUUUAUGGCAGGGGUCUCCAACCGCUGGGAUCUAAUGCCUGAUCAUCUGAAGUGGAGCUGAUGGAAUAAUAACAGAAAUAAAGUUCAAAUCAAUGUAAUGCACUUGAAUCAUCCUGAAAUCUCGGCCCCGCCCCUGGUCUGUGGAAGAACUGUCUUCCAUGAAACCAAGCCCGGGUGCCAAAAAGGUUGGGGGCCGCUGCUUUAUGGUUAUAGAGAUAUAUUUCAUUCCUAUAAACAUUGAUUUUAGGUUUUUUUUUUUUUUAAUACAGUGUGAUGAAUGGAAACUGGUGCUUGGCUCCAAUCUCAGCAGGGUAGUAGGGAGUGAUGAAGACCAGGGCAAGUCGGGGAGUCCAUGCCUCAUCGAAAUACCUAGUCAUGUAAUAAGAACCUCCUGUAUGGCACAGGAAACUCUACUCAAUACCUUGUAAUGACUUAUAUGAGGAAAGAGUCUAAAAAAGAGGUAAUAUAUUAUAUGUAUAACUGAAUUACUUUGCUGUACACCUACAACUAAUACAACAUUGUAAGUCAGGUAUAUGCCAGUAAACGUUAACUUAAAGAAAUAGCUAGUCAAAGGCUGAUAUUUACACUGGAAAUUGUACAAUGUCACCAUGAUGCAUAUUAUUAUAAUUUAUAAAUAAUAUGCUGUUGGUUGACUUGUAUCAGUAGCAGUGUUCAUUCCCUGAUAUUUGUUCAGCAUCUUUGAAAUUAGCUCCACAGUGUUACAGAUUUAAAUAGUCACACUUUCCACAGAGAACUGUUUUUUUGUUAACAGGUAGGGGAUUCUGGGGCUUGGUGGAUUAUUGUGUUUUGUGGUAUAAACAACUCUGGAAAGAUUUGAGUUCUGUGUUGAAACUGGUUUUAACUGGCAAUGGUGUGGUUACUUGACCAAGACUAGACUUCAAUUCAGAACUGAGCAGUGUUUAUUUAGGACUUGGAGAACAUGCGUGAAUAAAUGAUAACAAUAACUUAA